UCGUAGCAGAUAGCUCAGUAACACGUGGCAAACAACAAAUAUGGAUCCAGACAACCUCGGGAAACUGAGGCUAUUCUGGAAUAGGGCUCUCAUCCUGGAGUGGAGAGAGCCUGAAACGCUCCGGCGCCAUAGGAUGGGGCUGCCGCCGAUUAUCGUAGACGGGGGGGUAACGGCCCACCGUGCCAGUAAUCGGUACGGGUUGUGAGAGCAAGAACCCGGAAACGGUAUCUGAAACAAGAUACCGGGCCCUACGGGGCGCAGCAGGGGCGAAACCUUUACACUGCACGCCAGUGCGAUAAGGGGACUCCAAGUGCGAGGGCAUAUAGUCCUCGCUUUUUGCGACCGUAAGGUGGUCGCGGAAUAAGUGCUGGGCAAGACCGGUGCCAGCCGCCGCGGUAAUACCGGCAGCACGAGUGAUGACCGCUGUUAUUGGGCCUAAAGCGUCCGUAGCUGGCCGCGCAAGUCUAU
rnacentral:rRNA from 1 species